UACGUAGGUGGCGAGCGUUGUCCGGAUGUAUUGGGCGUAAAGAGCGCGCAGGUGGUCCGUUAAGGCCUGCGGGAAAUCUCCCGGCUCACCCGGGAGGGGGCGCGGGAUACUGGGGGACUGGAGGCAGGCAGAGGCCGGUGGAAUUCCCGGUGUAGUGGUGAAAUGCGUAGAGAUCGGGAGGAACACCAGUGGCGAAAGCGGCCGGCUGGGCCUGUUCUGACGCUGAGGCGCGAAAGCGUGGGGAGCGAACCGG
rnacentral:rRNA from 1 species